rnacentral:rRNA from 1 species
GACGAACGCUGGCGGCGUGCUUAACACAUGCAAGUCGAACGGGCCCGCCCCUGUUUUUGGGGGUGGGUUGAGUGGCGAACGGGUGAGUAUCACGUGAGUAACCUGCCCCCUGCUCCUGGAUAACUGCUUGAAAGGGCGGCUAAUACGGGGUGUGCCGGCUGGUCCGCAUGGGCCUGGUCGGGAUAGUUUCAUCUUCGGGUGUUUCGGUGGGGGAUGGGCUCGCGGCCUAUCAGCUUGUUGGUGGGGUGAUGGCCCACCAAGGCGGUGACGGGUAGCCGGCCUGAGGGGGUGGGCGGCCACACUGGGUCUGAGACACGGACCCGACUGCUGCGGGAGGCAGCAGGGGGGGGUAUUGCACAAUGGGCGGAAGCCUGAUGAAGCGACGUCGCGUGAGGGAUGGAGGCCUUCGGGUUGUGAACCUCUUUCUCCGGUGGUGAAGGCCCUGUCCGUUGCGGCGGGGUUGACGGUAGCCGGGUAUGAAGCGCCGGCUAACUACGUG